GGACAGAUCAAAAAGGUACAGGAAGGCAAUGGUGGAGGAGAAGGAGACAAAAACAAACCAGACAGAAAUAGCUUCCUAGCCCCACCGGGUUCCUUUCCCACCUGACAGCCAGUCCUCCUGCAGUGAUUUGAAGAAUGCUGUCAGAGGAAAAGAAGCACCCCUGCAUCCUCAAGAGAAGGACGCAUUUAACCCAGGAGACCUGCCGGUAUGAGCAGGGCCAUGGGUCAGGUUUCUAUAACAGACCUUUGUAACAAUUCUUGAACCUCUACCCACUGUUCACUGGUUAGACUAACAAGUAAUGAAGGCCUGGUAGAAGAUGGGAAUUUCAGCCUUAAUUCUACUGGUGUUAGAAUAGUGAAAAGAGAAGGUUGGCCAAGAGGCUUGGGAGCUUCUGUCUGGUAUUCAGAGUCCAGUUUUUCAGCUAAAUCCUAUUUUUAUGAAAGAAUUCAUCAAAAAUAUUAUAACCCUACUAAACAAUGGUUCCGCCCUUGUAUUUCAAUGGCACGAGUGGCAGGAUCUAGGCUGUGGGCUCCCAGCAGCAGAAUCUCUCCCUGGAGCAAGCACCCAUGCUCUCUGACGGGGGUGGGGGCGGGCAGGCUGCAUCCAGCAGUUGGAAUGUAACACCGCUGGGGGCCUGUAGGAGGCAGUAGGACAGCUGUCGUCCCUGGGGUACAUGGCCCCGGUGACCCAAGGACUGCCAGCACAGAAUGGUUCA